rnacentral:antisense_RNA from 1 species
AUACAAGAUUAUAAAAACAACUCAGUGUUUUUUUUCUUUGAAUGAUGUCGUUCACAAACUUUGAUCAGGGCGUGAGCGACUCCUUUUUAUUUUGUU